rnacentral:rRNA from 1 species
ACGUAGGGUGCGAGCGUUGUCCGGAAUUAUUGGGCGUAAAGGGCUCGUAGGCGGUUUGUCGCGUCGGGAGUGAAAACACCGGGCUUAACUCGGUGCUUGCUUCUGAUACGGGCAGACUGGAGGUAUGCAGGGGAGAACGGAAUUCCUGGUGUAGCGGUGAAAUGCGCAGAUAUCAGGAGGAACACCGGUGGCGAAGGCGGUUCUCUGGGCAUGACCUGACGCUGAGGAGCGAAAGUGUGGGGAGCGAACAGGAUUAGAUACCCUGGUAGUCCACACCGUAAACGUUGGGCGCUAGGUGUGGGAUCCAUUCCACGGGUUCCGUGCCGCAGCUAACGCAUUAAGCGCCCCGCCUGGGGAGUACGGCCGCAAGGCUA